CCUGGACGAAAGUGCUGGCGCAAAUUAGAACUCUUGCCGAGGAUACAUGUGCAUGGACCUUUAAUGGAUAUUGGGGCGUUAAUAGAGUUUUCCCUUCUUACUUCCUAGAUCUUUUCGUAUUCAAGAAAUCGUACACAAUUGUUUCGAAGUGAGAUGAAAAACCAUGUCCACUACCAAACGUGGCACAUCCAGACGAGGAAAACGAAGACGUUCUGUUAACCCAGCUGCUGUUCAGUCACGUGAUGAUAACGUCACAGAAUAUGAUCAAGAAGUUCCAUCCAAAAGAUUACGACCACGCCCCGUUGCUAGUACGAGCAAGGAGUGUUCACAACGACAAGGAAUCAGAAGAAAGCAACAAGCCAUCAAUGUUCUAGAUUAAAGCCUGAGCAAAACAAUGAGAAGUUGUAUGCAAGUGACGUCAUUGGAGAUUUGAGUCCUCACCGUAGUUGUAUAAGCAAUAGCACGAGUCCUUCUCAAGCGGCUAUCUGGUCGUCUGCUUAUACACUGUCCACCAACAUGUAUAUAUAAUGGGCAGUCACCUGAACAGAUUAUCUGUUGAUAUAUCAGAAGAAUGCAUUAUUGCAAAUACUUUUAAAUUUAAAUAUUUGCUUGUAUUGGAAAUGGAACAGCCACAUUUGUUAAUGAAAUUUGAAAUAGUUUUAGUUUUAAUCAACUUGAUUUUGACUGUCACAUGUUUCUGAUAGUUCAUUUUUCAAUAAUUAAAGGGAAAGUUCAGAGUUUGCUGCAAUUUGUAAGAUGGUAUCGACUAACAGCCUUUUUAACGAUUGUAAUUACAUACCAGUAUCAAAUAUAUUUUUCUGCA